GCCAAAGCCCGGCCGCGCCGGCUGCCCGGAGCCUGCAAAUGACUGGACCUGGUGCAGGGAGGUCCACGGGGAGAACUGGAGCAUGAUGGGCUCGAUGGCACAGUCGUCCCCGAGUGUCCCCACGGUGGCCAGCUUGAGGAAGGGUACUCAGCAUCGGCAGUGGCGUCCAAGGCCAUCAGCCCCUCCUGGAAACCGUCCCCCUUGGCCAAGGCCACCACCUGCCGCUCCAUGAACUCCUCCACCACCACUCGGUAGGAGCUGGAGAACACAAAAC